AGAAGGAACGAACCCUGCUCACACCUGGAUCCCAGACUUCUAGCUUCCAGGACGGAGAAAAUAAAUGUUGUUGAAGCCGCCUACCCUAUGGUACUUUAUUAUGGAAGCCCUAGCACACUAAUACAUUAAGGAUAAACAUCUGUCAGAUAGGAUUAAAGUGCCUGUGUGCCACUGAGGAAUGGGAUGAAGAGAGAAGGAAGAUAAUAAGAAGAGAAGGCAAGAAGAAGAAGAAGAAUCAAACAGACAGAAAUGGAACUUCCCUCAAAGGUGGUGCAGACCUGCCUGGGGCCCCUGAGAGCAGGAAGGCUUUCCUCCUGAAUCCAGCAGAGCUCUUCUCACCACGUGGCCAGAGUCUGCCUUCUGCAUGAAUGUCAUUGCCUAAGUGACUUCGAGAUGCAGAUGGAGCGUGGUUUCACCCUCAGUCUCUCCUCCUCUGGUUCACGCCCAUGUCUGAUUCCUGGGCAUCGCUUUGCCUCAGAAAGCCACCUCCAGUCUUUCCCACCCACUUCCAAUUUGCCCUUGCCCCUUCCUCCAAGCCAAGGCAGUGGUUGUAUAAACAUAGCUGUAUGUACAACACUCAGCUUUUACACUGGUCUCCAUUGAAUGAGUAAUC
rnacentral:lncRNA from 10 species